rnacentral:rRNA from 1 species
UACGAAGGGUGCAAACGUUGCUCGGAAUUAUUGGGCGUAAAGCGCACGUAGGCGGCUUGGCAAGUCGGAUGUGAAAUCCCUCGGCUCAACCAAGGAAGUGCAUCCGAAACUGCUGAGCUUGAGUACUUAAGAGGAUCGCGGAAUUCCCGGUGUAGAGGUGAAAUUCGUAGAUAUCGGGAGGAACACCGGUGGCGAAGGCGGCGACCUGGGUAGAUACUGACGCUGAGGUGCGAAAGCGUGGGGAGCAAACAGG